UACGGAGGGGGCUAGCGUUGUUCGGAAUUACUGGGCGUAAAGCGUGCGCAGGCGGCUGCUCAAGUCAGGGGUGAAAGCCCAGAGCUCAACUCUGGAAUUGCCUUUGAGACUGAGUGGCUUGAGUACGGGAGAGGUGAGUGGAAUUCCCAGUGUAGAGGUGAAAUUCGUAGAUAUUGGGAAGAACACCGGUGGCGAAGGCGGCUCACUGGCCCGUAACUGACGCUCAUGCACGACAGCGUGGGGAUCAAACAGG
rnacentral:rRNA from 1 species